AGAGUAAUGUACAGGCUCUGAUUUCAUUACACAUUAUGAUUAUCAAUAAGAUAUGGUGACAAUGGUAGCUUUACACACACUUGGAGUUUUACUGCUCUUGCUGACACGGAACGUGGAGAACAUCUCCGUCCAGCAGUCUUCAUCCCAACUCAUCCAGGAAGGGACGGAGGAGCUCACCAUCACCUGCAGCCAUGAUGACAGCAGCUAUUACACAAUGCUCUGGUACCAACACAAGCAGAGCAGUCAGUCUAUGAGCCUCAUCGGGUUUGGAGUCAACACCGGCAGCCCCAACUACGAGGGUCGGUUUGAAGAGCGAUUCAAGCUGACGAGAGAAAACACACUGAAAGGAGCUCUGAUCAUUCACAAAGUGAACCUGUCAGACUCGGCUGUGUAUUUCUGUGCUGCCAGCACACAGUGAUGUGGUUUAAUGGAAGUGCUGAACAAGAAACCAGAUAUCACUCAAACUAAUGACAGCUGCUGCUCAGGGUUUAGGGCUUUAGAUGUUUAACUGAAGAGUUGAUGGAAACAGUUUCUUAAAGGCAGAUCAGUUUAUGUUUUUGCAACUAAAUGUGGCCGAUAUUGAACUAUAAUUGAAUAACCAAUAUCGGCUAGUUAGUGUUGCCCACGACCAACAACUGCAGAUUCCUCCCUGGCAUGAAAACAGUCCAUAAAUCUUGCCUGAAAUUCUAUUUUUUGCACAUUUUAAUCAUUCAUUUAAUGGCUUGCAAUACUGUCUUCAUUACAAAUGAGCCAA